UACGUAGGGCGCAAGCGUUGUCCGGAAUUAUUGGGCGUAAAGAGCUCGUAGGCGGUUUGUCGCGUCGGAUGUGAAAGCCCGGGGCUUAACCCCGGGUCUGCAUCGAUACGGGCAGACUAGAGUGUGGUAGGGGAGAUCGAAUUCCUGGUGUAGCGGUGAAAUGCGCAGAUAUCAGGAGGAACACCGGUGGCGAAGGCGGAUCUCUGGGCCAUUACUGACGCUGAGGAGCGAAAGCGUGGGGAGCGAACAGG
rnacentral:rRNA from 1 species